AUGACUUGAUCUCUCUCUCAAGCAACUCUCAGUGCUCUCAUGACUCUCACCCAGCGUACAGGGUGAGCCUAUCUCUCUCUCACACGAUUCUUAGCGAUCUCUCUCUCAGGCGACUCUCAUUCUGCUCAAGCAGGGUGAGACGAUCUCUCUCACGCGACUCUCAUUCUGUUCGUGGUUUUCCUUCUCAACAAGUUGUUGGUUCUCUUCCUCAGGAGAAGAAUUUGGAAUCUCUAAUCCUCAUGUUUGAUUUCUUCUUCACUUAUGUUCAUUCUCUUCUUCAUUUUGUAUCUCUUCUCCAUUUUGUAACUAAGCUGUGUAUUUCUGCAAUACAUUGGUAUGUGAGUAUUGAUCCUGCUCAUCAAGUGUUUGAUGAAAUGUUUCAUAGAGAUUUGGUUUCUGUUAGUUUAAACAUCCAACCCACCUUCACUGCUCUGUGAAAAAACUAAUUUCAUCUCAUGUUAUAAAUAUCAAAAUGCAUUUUAUAUAGGUAAUGAGGCCAAGGUCGUUGAAGCCAUGCCUUACAGCUCUGCUUGAACUAAUAUUGGUGUUGAGUGACUAGAAGCAUAAAUAGCUGUUGACUCCAAACGCUGACAACCCAUUGCAACCUCUCUAACUAGAGAGAGAGAGAGAGAGAGAGAGAGAGAGAGAGAGUUAUGAUGGAAGAAGAAAGAUCCUCUAGGCAACCUGCAAGAGACACCGACUUGGGCAGUGGCUAGCAUUUGCUUUUUCCUCAUACUCCUCUCCAUAAUCUUUGAAUGCUGCAUGCGCCACAUUGUCUAAUGGCUCAGGAAGCAUAAGAAGAAGGCAUUGGAAGAGGCUGUGGAGAAGCUUAAAUCAGAGCUGAUGCUGUCUGGUUUCAUUUUGCUUAUAGUAGCAGCACUACAAGGACCCAUCUCUAAUAUCUAUGUACCCAUCAAAUAUGCAAAAUUCAUGCUUCCUUGUCCCAAUAAUGCAACUACCACAAUAGAAAAAUUCAGGGAGACUCAUAGAACUGGUGGCACUUCCAACAAUGAUAAACAUAGUCCACAUAGUGCAACACCUUAGUAGGGUAGCAGAAGCAAGAGAAGGAGCUAGAAUCAGGACUGCAAUUAUGAGGCAAAUGUGGGUUGAUUAUCGGCGAAGGCGGCGUAAUCUCCAUUAGAGCAUUGGUUGUACUUUUUUUUGUGUGCUAUGCUUGUAAUAGCUACAAAGUUGGAUUAUACUAGAGACUGUGAUUUGGAAUGGAAUUAUAAAAUCUUUACGAGAAAGCA